AACGAACGCUGGCGGCAUGCCUAACACAUGCAAGUCGAACGAGACCUUCGGGUCCAGUGGCGCACGGGUGUGUAACGCGUGGGAACCUGACCUUAGGUUCGGAAUAACUCUCCGAAAGGGGUGCUAAUACCGGAUAAUGUCUUCGGACCAAAGAUUUAUCGCCUUUGGAUGGGCCCGCGUUGGAUUAGCUAGUUGGUAGGGUAAAAGCCUACCAAGGCGACGAUCCAUAGCUGGUCUGAGAGGAUGAUCAGCCACACUUGGGAUGAGACACGGCCCAGACUCCUACGGGAGGCAGCAGUGGGGAAUAUUGGACAAUGGGCGAAAGCCUGAUCCAGCAAUGCCGCGUGAGUGAUGAAGGCCUUAGGGUUGUAAAGCUCUUUUACCCGGGAUGAUAAUGACGGUACCGAGAGAAUAAGCUCCGGCUAACUCCGUG
rnacentral:rRNA from 1 species